ensembl:lncRNA
CAGUGAACAAAGGAGAGAAAAAGAAGGAAUUUUGAGUGAUAAGGUAUAAAAGCAGACUGAAAUCAAGAACAGAUUAAACCACUUGUACAGAAGCAGUCAAUAGCAGUACCUGAUGGUGAUGGGAGCACAGAGCAAAAAAAGGAGGAUUUUCUACAGCUCAGAAUCUCAGAAUAGUUUCGUUGAAUGGUAAAAGAUAGAGAAUUUCAGCUGCUUCAUUGAACAAUCUUCAUGUAAAAUGACUGGCAGAGUAUAUUUAGAAGAGGUAAGAAAAGAGGAAGAAAAAACGAGUUCUUGUUGCUAUUAAAACUGUUGCAGAUCAAAUUU